rnacentral:rRNA from 1 species
UAUCUCUGUAGAGUCUGCAUAUCAAUAAGCGGAGGAAAAGAAACUAACUAGGAUUCCCUUAGUAACGGCGAGUGAAGCGGGAAGAGCUCAAAUUUGAAAUCUUCAAGGUUUUACCUUGACGAAUUGUAGUUUAAAGAAGUGUUUUCUGUUGGAAGUUUUGGUAAAAGUUCUUUGGAAUAGGACAUCAUAGAGGGUGAGAAUCCCGUAUUUGACCAGUUAUUUUCCAGCUGUGUGAUACACUUUCAAAGAGUCGGAUUGUUUGGGAAUGCAGUCCCAAAAUGGGUGGUAAAUUUCAUCUAAAGCUAAAUACUGGCGAGAGACCGAUAGCGAACAAGUACCGUGAGGGAAAGAUGAAAAGAACUUUGAAAAGAGAGUUAAACAGUACGUGAAAUUGUCAAAAGGGAAGCGUUUGACACCAGUGUUGUUUUCUCGAAAAUCAAUUAAAAAUGGCAUGAUUUUGUGUUGUAUUGACCUUUAAUCAAGCUUUCUUCACUCUUUUUCAUUGUCUUUUUUAAUGCACUUUUCGUUUAACAAGUCAACAUCAGUUUCUUUUGUUGUAAAAGGGUCAUUGGAAGGUGGCUUUCUUUUCGGAGAAAGUGUUUAUAGCCUUUGGCCUCUGCAAUCGGAGAGAUUGAGGUCUGCAGCGUAGAUCCUUCGGGGUUAGAUACAUUUGUGCUAAGUUAUAGCCUUUCAUAGACAACUUGUUGACUAUGAUCAGUCAUGUAGCUUACUCGCUUGUGCUAUUUUACCUACGCUUAGGAUGUUGACGAGACUGUCGAUCUC